ACGGAAGGCAGCAGUGAGGAAUAUUGGUCAAUGGGCGGAAGCCUGAACCAGCCAAGUCGCGUGAAGGAUGAAGGUAUUAUGUAUUGUAAACUUCUUUAGCUGUGGAGCAAUAAUCUCCAUGUAUGGAGAGAUGAGAGUACACAGAGAAUAAGGAUCGGCUAACUCCGUGCCAGCAGCCGCGGUAAUACGGAGGAUCCGAGCGUUAUCCGGAUUUAUUGGGUUUAAAGGGUGCGCAGGCGGCUUUCUAAGUCAGUGGUCAAAUCGUGGUGCUCAACGCCAUCCCGCCAUUGAUACUGGAGAGCUUGAUUGCGGUCGAGGUUUGCGGAAUUCGUCGUGUAGCGGUGAAAUGCAUAGAUAUGACGAAGAACACCGAUUGCGUAGGCAGCUGACCAAGCCGUAAAUGACGCUCAUGCACGAAAGUGCGGGGAUCGAACAGGAUUAGAUACCCUGGUA
rnacentral:rRNA from 1 species